rnacentral:rRNA from 1 species
GAAUAUUGCGCAAUGGGCGAAAGCCUGACGCAGCGACGCCGCGUGGAGGAUGAAGGCCUUCGGGUCGUAAACUCCUGUCGGAAGGGAAGAACCGCCGGAGCUCGAAUAGACUCCGGUCUGACGGUACCUUCCCAGGAAGCACCGGCUAACUUCGUGCCAGCCGCCUCGGUAAUACGAAGGGUGCAAACGUUGCUCGGAAUCACUGGGCGUAAAGGGUGCGUAGGCGGCCUGUUAAGUCGGAUGUGAAAGCCCUCAGCUCAACUGAGGAAUUGCAUUCGAUACUGGCAGGCUUGAGUGCGAUAGAGGAAAGCGGAAUUCCUGGCGUAGCGGUGAAAUGCGUUGAUAUCAGGAGGAACACCUGUGGCGAAGGCGGCUUUCUGGGUCGUAACUGACGCUGAGGCACGAAAGCGUUGGGUAGCAAACGGG